rnacentral:rRNA from 1 species
UACGGGAGGCAGCAGUGGGGAAUUUUGGACAAUGGGCGAAAGCCUGAUCCAGCCAUGCCGCGUGCAGGAUGAAGGCCUUCGGGUUGUAAACUGCUUUUGUACGGAACGAAAAGACUUUGGUUAAUACCGGGGGUUCAUGACGGUACCGUAAGAAUAAGCACCGGCUAAUUACGUGCCAGCAGCCGCGGUAAUACGUAGGGUGCAAGCGUUAAUCGGAAUUACUGGGCGUAAAGCGUGCGCAGGCGGUUUUGUAAGACAGAUGUGAAAUCCCCGGGCUCAACCUGGGAACUGCCUUUGUGACUGCAAAGCUAGAGUGCGGCAGAGGGGGAUGGAAUUCCGCGUGUAGCAGUGAAAUGCGUAGAUAUGCGGAGGAACACCGAUGGCGAAGGCAAUCCCCUGGGCCUGCACUGACGCUCAUGCACGAAAGCGUGGGGAGCAAACACGGAUUAGAUACCCUGGUAGUCCACGCCCUAAACGAUGUCAACUGGUUGUUGGGAAUUCACUUUCUCAGUAACGAAGCUAACGCGUGAAGU